rnacentral:snRNA from 1 species
UCAACCUAGUACGAGAGGA